rnacentral:antisense_RNA from 21 species
GGGUGCUUUUGGCUAUCAACCGAAAGCAUAACGUAAGUUUUGUAGACGGUAGAUAACUAAAAACCCCGAAAGUAAAUUUUCAUUCACUAACGAGGCUUUAGAUAUGUACUUCAACAAUACGGAUCUUAGUCUCUAUUUUAAUAAGAGGCAAGUAAAAUGCUAAAAAA